UAGGGAAUCUUCGGCAAUGGGGGGAACCCUGACCGAGCAACGCCGCGUGAGUGAAGAAGGUUUUCGGAUCGUAAAGCUCUGUUGUUAAGGAAGAACGAGUGUGAGAAUGGAAAGUUCAUACUGUGACGGUACUUAACCAGAAAGGGACGGCUAACUACGUGCCAGCAGCCGCGGUAAUACGUAGGUCCCGAGCGUUGUCCGGAUUUAUUGGGCGUAAAGCGAGCGCAGGCGGUUAGAUAAGUCUGAAGUUAAAGGCAGUGGCUCAACCAUUGUAGGCUUUGGAAACUGUUUAACUUGAGUGCAGAAGGGGAGAGUGGAAUUCCAUGUGUAGCGGUGAAAUGCGUAGAUAUAUGGAGGAACACCGGUGGCAAAAGCGGCUCUCUGGUCUGUAACUGACGCUGAGGCUCGAAAGCGUGGGGAGCGAACAGG
rnacentral:rRNA from 1 species